rnacentral:rRNA from 1 species
AUGGUGCCUGAACUACCUAUUCUAUUACCUUUUGGGAAGCCCCAAAGCCACAUCAAGCCCUAUGCUAUGGGUCAAGAAAACGCGUAUACAUCUGGCUUACCGGUCAUCUCCCAUUCCCGUCGUCGAGAGACUAAAAGAACUAUAGCAUGCCAGAAACGGGGAGUUGAGGUGGUUAGACCUAUACCCCGAAAUGCUCCCGGCAUAGGAGCCUAUGGUUCCAUUCUUGUUAUUGCUGGAGUGGCAUACAACUUUGGACCUAAGGGCUGGUCCCGUUACCUUUCGGAAUGGGGGAUCCCCGUUGGCAACAACCACGGUAGUAGUUGCGGAACUACUGGGCCAAGAGAGGACAACCUGUUGUUCCUGCUCCUCCUUCUUCGCUUCGGGGACGGAGGUCCUACGGUAGGUAAGAGCACGCACAAGCACUUGACCGAAGGGGACCAGCGCUUCUACUCCUCCACCGAGGAGCCGUUCUUGCGAGAAGCAAGGGAUGUCGUGAACGGUGGGAGGUCAAAGAAAGAGAAUUGA